rnacentral:misc_RNA from 1 species
GGCCAAGCCCUUGUCUCCUGUAUUAGCAGACUGGUUUAUUGCUUCCACAUUCCUUGAACACAACCACAGAUUAAGCAUGUUUCUUUGAAAAAUCCUCAUUCCCUUCCACCUUUCACCUUCAACUCAGAAAAGUAAACACCAUAUUUCCAGUUGAUCCCACCAAAUAACAAAUUAAGUAUAUCUCCUAGAAUUACCUUCUCCUUCAUCCCUUACAAAAACAAACACAAUUUCAAAUUGAACAACCAAUAUUCUAACCAUUAGAAUUCUAAAGCUAACUUCUUAUUGAGCCCAAAACUCUAAUCUUCAAGAAAAUUAAUUGCAACCAAAAUAUUGCCAUCACAACUCAUGCCAGAAUAGUAAAUCUUAUGCACUUAGGAUGAGACGCAAACAUUCAUCCUCUCUCAUAUGAUACCAGGAAAGGAAAAUUUUAUUUUCUUUCCCCAACUCCAAAGAGCCCAGAUGUUUAAUAUCUGCAGUAUUCUACAUAAUUUGGCUAUAUCUACUACAAUAUAAUGGAAAAAUAAGGAAGUACAAAAUAUUGUCAUUAAUUAAACUAGAGGCAUUGAAAUGUGAAAACCUAUUAUGGUAAAUAACCUUCAACCAAUGCAGAGUAGUGAAAGAAGAAAGCUCUCCCAGCCAUUAAAUUGAGUUUGAGUUUAGCAAGUAAAAUACAACAACACGAGUUGACCCCAUAUAAGAGAAUUGCUAUAAGGGGUUGCAACUUAACUGCGGAUAAUUUUCCAGUCGUUUUACCAAAAUUGAGAGUCGAACCAUCCAUUGGUUUUAUAGUCUGAGUGACUUAAGAUAUUGCAGAAUCUUUCCAUCCAGACUUUGCUAUUGGAAUAUGCUUGUUCAUUUUGCUUGGUGAGCUCAUUCAGUAUUGAUGAGAUUUAGCCAGAUGCUUGAGUAGAACAAAACAAGAAAAAACAGAGAAAGCACAUAAAAAAAAGAAGGGCUAAAUACCUUGCAGGGUAAAACUAAUUAUAAGCAUUUUAAUAUCUGGAGUUUGAAAAAAGUCAGCUGUAGGAAAAAAAAAAAAAACAUUUCUCUUACCUUGUCAUACAGCAAAUUGAAUUUUCCUGCAGGUAGAUUCAUAGAAUAUGAAUUGAAGUAUCAAACCCUGAGAAUCUGCAGCUUGGUAGAGAAGGCAAUAGCAACCCAAUCAGGCUGAGAAGAAGACCAUUGCAGCUGCUCAAUUUCAGCCCCUGCAGUGUAAGCCAGAAUGGGAUCCAAUCCACCCUCAACGGGCUGGCCCAUGGAGGAGAGGUCCCAAAUCAGGGCCUGGGAAUCAUCCCCAGCAGUGCAAAUGUGGCAAGAGCUAUGUGGAGCCCAAGCAAUGGCAUUGACGCUAGCAUGGUGCCUCUGCAACUCCACCACAGGGAGAGUCGGGAAGCGGAUGUCCAGAACCACCACCUUGGCACUGUCCAUGAUGAUCGUAGCCAUGUACCUCGGAUCCUGCUUAUUCCAUCCUAGUCGCACCAAGGGGGUGUCAGGUUCCGAGCUUUCGUAGAUGAUGGUGGAAUGCUCCUUAUCGCGAAGAUCGAAAACCCUAACGGAGCCGUCGGCGGAGACGGAGGCGAAAACACCGACGCCGCCCCAGGCGAUGUCAUAAACCUCCUUAUCGUGAGCGAUGAGCUGAGUGUCGACGGUCUCACGUUCGAUGUCCCAGAUGGUGCAGGUAGUGUCAAUGCUCGAAGUGCCGAUGCGCUUGGGGUCCGCCUCAUUCCAGUCGAAGGAAGUGAGAGGCCCACAAAACUCGCUGCUCUUGUUACCAUUAAGCACGCUCUUAAGCUCGACGCGCGACUGGUCAUCGCCAAUACGCCACAAGCGGAGGAAAUCACUGGAAGUGGCCAAGAGGUCAGGCUUCUGGCACUCCUUAUCAGGAAUGAACAUGGUCUUGGUGGGCGGAUAGGGGUGCUCGAAAGAAAGGUUGGGGUCGGAGCGGAUCUCGCCGUUGGAAUCAUCGAGCUGGACAAUCUCGACCCUGUUAGGGUACUGCUCGAGGAGGCUGGCGAUGGCGAGGCGGUACUUCUUGUCUCGGCGGACGCUCCAGUUCAUGGCGUAGAUGUGCCAGGGGGCUUCGUAGGUGUAGAUCUCCGACCGCUUCUGCUGCUCAUCGGACCCGUCUUGAUUCGGAUCACUGCUCGCACCCAUAAUUGUUUUUUGUUUUCGCUUCCCCUUCUCCUUUGGGUUAUGGAAUCUGAUAAUUCCUAAUUGAAAAGCGCAAGCGGUAGAGACGAAACUGGUGUGGUUUUCUGAAUUUUGAGAAGGAAAAUUGCGUUUUUUAUUUUUAUUUUAUAUUAUUUUAAUAGGCGUGACACCAUUCUUGGAGAGCAAUGCCAAGCUAUUAUUUUUUCUCUCUUUUGCAACUAAAUACAAUUUCUUGUGUUUAUUUAUUAUAAUUUUAAUUAAUUUUAGCCUAUUUAAUAUUUAAUAAUUAGAAUUUUUCUAGUCAUAUGAAAAUCAUUAUUAAGGAUACGUUUGGUUAAAAUGAAUUCCACAAAAUUGUGAAAUUCAAGUAUUCAACUGAAUUUCAUGUUUUGCAUGUUUGGUUUGAAGAAAAAAAAAUGUAGAUGUCAAUUCUGCAAAUUCAAUUCUAUGAAAUUGAACGUACCUAAAAUCAAAUUCUAUCAAAUAAGUGGAAUUUCAAAUGAAAUCCACAAAAUUAAGACAAUGGCAUUUUUGGACCCAAAUGCCCAUCUCUCUCUCUCUCUCUCUC